rnacentral:lncRNA from 1 species
UUGUAUUUAUCUUCUUCUCUGUUUCCUUCAACACCCAAACACAGUGACAAGGAAGUUUUAAUAUUUACAACAACAAAAAAAUAGAUCCUAAAAUUACCUCAAAUUCCUAAUCUCUACUGCAUCGUAAACCCCUAAUCUAUCCCCUCCCCCUAAUUUCUUGCAGGCAAGGAAUUCUCCUGUUUGCUUAAGAGAUUCAGAUAGGAAGCUCUGUGUUGCUUAUGAAAAGGUAAAGUAAAACAUUCAGUUCCAUUUUAUUCAUUUCUUCUUAAUUGAACCAAUGCCUUCAAUUUUCUAAUCUAAAUCGUAAGAUGCUUGUGACUUGAUCCACUGCGUAGAUCAACAAUCUAUCAAUACUUGGAACUAUUGUAUUUUGUGCUCCUGAUAUAUUAUUACAUGUAAUUGCUUUGUAAUAAUCUGGAACUAUUGUAUUUUGUGCAUUUGAUGAACUACCUACAUCUGUUUGUUUGCGGUUCGGAUGGAAUACCUGCAUUUUGUUUUGUAAGAGAUAUUGUUUCUUUGUGUUUAUAUUAGUUUAGGCCUUAGGGACUUGUUUAUAUAAUACGUGUUGUUAGCAAUAACUAACGGUGGCGUAACAGAAGGAGCUAAUUAUACAAAAAAUUAAUAGCUCGUGCAUUUGAUUACAACUUUUUUUAGUUUAGGCUUUAUAGACUACUGGUAUAAUCACGCAAGUUACAACUUAACAUGCUUAUUUAAACACACUGUAUAUAACCACUCAAAUCAUUAUUGUUUUAUUCCAUUAAUCUUACAAUUGAGAAUAGACCAAGAACCAUAACUAAUGGGGGGAAUACAAGGAAACAAGGACAAAACAGAGAAAUGAGGUAUUGAAAAA